rnacentral:rRNA from 1 species
GAUGAACGCUGGCGGCGUGCUUAACACAUGCAAGUCGAGCGAAGCACUCUGUCCGGAUUCUUUCGGGAUGACGGACUUAGUGACUGAGCGGCGGACGGGUGAGUAACGCGUGGGUAACCUGCCUCAUACAGGGGGAUAACAGUUAGAAAUGACUGCUAAUACCGCAUAAGACCACAGUACCGCAUGGUACAGGGGUAAAACUCCGGUGGUAUGAGAUGGACCCGCGUCUGAUUAGCUGGUUGGUGGGUAACGGCCGUACCGAAGGCGACGAUCAGUAGCCGGCCUGAGAGGCGACGGCCACAUUGGGACUGAGACACGGCCCAAACUCCUACGGGAGGCAGCAGUGGGGAAUAUUGCACAAUGGGCGAAAGCCUGAUGCAGCGACGCCGCGUGAGCGAUGAAGUA